ACAAAAAAAUAACAGUCGUCAAAAACACCGGUUAAAAAAACCAACGGUUUCUAUCUAUACUUUCUACAACUGUGUUUCUUCCUACACUUUCUCGUUAUUCUAUUUUCUUUAUUGUUCCUGCUCUAUGCUUUUCAAUCUACUUUUCUUAUUUCACAUGCUAACCUCUAUGUUCUUCCCUCAUUGUCUUUUUCACUUUGCCUCCAGUUAUAUGCAUUUUGGUUUUUUAUUCGACUCCAUCUUUAAAUCACUUCGCUGCUACCAUUACAUUACUGGAGAACCGGAUAAAAUAUCCUUAAAAGAACCAAACAUGAGAUGCAUAUUUGACGCCCAUGAAGUGUUUGAAAAAAGGUACUAUAGGAAGACAUUGCCCACCCCCACGGCUUUAGGAAAUGGUGCUAUCUCAACAGGUUUUUAGGAUGAUCUUAGUAUUGACACUUCAAAUGGAUCGUCCCAAACAAAAAGGCCUCGCACGGUGAAGGAAGCUCAUGAUAAGGAUGUCAAAAGCCGGGAGAUCUAUUAUCAUAUGACAAUGCCUGAGAAAGGAGCAAUUUUGUCUGCAACAAUGCCUCAAAAAUCGAGAGGCAACACGUAAUCGUCUUCUUCCAAACAUAAAUCAUGUCAAUUGCCUCUCAAUUGCAGGAUUAUGUUAUGAGAGUCAUCUGAAUUGCAUCGAGAUAACGCCAGCGUAUUCCCUUCUAUAAUGGUUUUAAAGCCACCGGCAGAUUCUUGCAACUUAGCUUAAUGCAUUAACUGUGAAUCAAAUUUCAGUUAUACUUUUACUAAAUGGGAGCCAGGAUGUAUAUGGAACUGGAUGUGAUUUUGCUAGACAAUAUGGGAGAUUACUGUAUUAUCCUUAGGAGAUGUGCUUUAGAGUGAAGACUCGGACUUCCAUAAAUAUGAAAGAAACUUUGCAUA